rnacentral:lncRNA from 1 species
UUUGACGAGUGCUAUGACAAACCAUUCAUGCAAAAUUUCACAAUUCGAACGAAUUUUCGUGUCAUCGUGUGUCGAGUUGAAGAAUACCGGUUUCGUUGUCGCAGGAAAUUGAUCGUAAAGUGGUACGAACGGUUUAUUUCAGAGCUAUUGAAAGUGAAAUAAAUUGUUUAAGUGCUUGCUUGCCUCCUCGUCGUCGUCGUCGUCGUCUCGAAGUGCGAUAGAAGGCAUGCGUGAACACGUUGCAUCUCUGUUUAGUUGCCCAUUUAGACAUUUUCCUUGCUUAUUCGUUGCGCAAGGUGAACGGCAAACUGGUCAAAUUGAAAUUUCGUGCACAAUUGAGAGAAAACGAGAAAGGGUCGAUUGUUGAAAAAACAAAAGGAUUCAAACGGAAGACGAACGAGUUUCUCCGAGUUUUCUCAAGUUUUUCUUCGAGUUCGAUGCAUCGUCGCAAUUAACGAUAAGCGAGAAAACCACUUAGGAUUUGUGUGUUCGGGAAUUUUAUUCAAAAUUAUCGAAGGAAGUCGCACUGGCCGAAUUGUGCACAACCUUAACCACAAUAAAUAAGGGGUGAUUUAAAAAUAGAUGCAGAAAAA